CCUACGGGCGGCAGCAGUGAGGAAUAUUGGUCAAUGGGCGUAAGCCUGAACCAGCCAAGUCGCGUGAGGGAUGAAGGUUCUAUGGAUCGUAAACCUCUUUUAUAAGGGAAUAAAGUGCGGGACGCGUCCCGUUUUGAAUGUACCUUAUGAAUAAGGAUCGGCUAACUCCGUGCCAGCAGCCGCGGUAAUACGGAGGAUCCGAGCGUUAUCCGGAUUUAUUGGGUUUAAAGGGUGCGUAGGCGGGCUUUUAAGUCAGCGGGGAAAGUCCGGGGCUCAACCAUAGAAUUGCCGUUGAAACUGGGAGGCUUGAGUAUGUUAGAGGCAGGCGGAAUGCGUGGUGUAGCGGUGAAAUGCAUAGAUAUCACGCAGAACCCCGAUUGCGAAGGCAGCCUGCCAGGCCAUGACUGACGCUGAUGCACGAAAGCGUGGGGAUCGAACAGGAUUAGAUACCCGGGUAGUC
rnacentral:rRNA from 1 species